GGGAAGGCUACAGGGCUGUAAAGGCUUGCCGCCGGCAGCAUAAAUAACGGAUGCUGGCAGGAGCCUGGUGCUGGCAGCAAUCGUUGUUGUAUGGAGAGCUUCAGCCAGAAAUCUUGGAAACCUUGUACUCUGAACCUUCGACUUUGUGUGUUGGACCUCUGGAGGUGAUAAUGCAGGCUUCUCGGCUUGGAAAUGGAGAAGAGCACUUUCUCCAGAGCCAGAGAUAAGCACCACCUGCAGAGCCGGAAAUGAAAGAAGACUUUGCCUUUGUCUAUGCUUGUUUGUCUCAUUGUAUGUGAUUGUAACAAGGUAUUGAAUGUUUGC
rnacentral:lncRNA from 11 species